AUUGAACGCUGGCGGCAUGCUUUACACAUGCAAGUCGAACGGCAGCGGGGACUUCGGUCCGCCGGCGAGUGGCGAACGGGUGAGUAAUGCAUCGGAACGUGCCUAUCAGUGGGGGAUAACGCUUCGAAAGGAGUGCUAAUACCGCAUAUUCUCUGAGGAGGAAAGUAGGGGACCUUAGGGCCUUGCGCUGAUAGAGCGGCCGAUGUCGGAUUAGCUAGUUGGUGAGGUAAAGGCUCACCAAGGCGACGAUCCGUAGCGGGUCUGAGAGGAUGAUCCGCCACACUGGGACUGAGACACGGCCCAGACUCCUACGGGAGGCAGCAGUGGGGAAUUUUGGACAAUGGGCGAAAGCCUGAUCCAGCCAUGCCGCGUGAGUGAAGAAGGCCUUCGGGUUGUAAAGCUCUUUCGGCCGGGAAGAAAUCGCAUGGGCUAAUACCCUGUGCGGAUGACGGUACCGGCAUAAGAAGCACCGGCUAACUACGUGCCAGCACG
rnacentral:rRNA from 1 species